rnacentral:rRNA from 1 species
GACGAACGCUGGCGGCGUGCCUAAUACAUGCAAGUCGAGCGCAGGAAACUGACGGAACUCUUCGGAGGGAAGGCAGCGGAAUGAGCGGCGGACGGGUGAGUAACACGUAAGGAACCUGCCUCAAGGAUUGGGAUAACUCCGAGAAAUCGGAGCUAAUACCGGAUAGUUCAUCGGACCGCAUGGUCCGUUGAUGAAAGGCGCUCCGGCGUCACCUUGAGAUGGCCUUGCGGUGCAUUAGCUAGUUGGUGGGGUAACGGCCCACCAAGGCGACGAUGCAUAGCCGACCUGAGAGGGUGAUCGGCCACACUGGGACUGAGACACGGCCCAGACUCCUACGGGAGGCAGCAGUAGGGAAUCUUCCACAAUGGACGAAAGUCUGAUGGAGCAACGCCGCGUGAGUGAUGAAGGUUUUCGGAUCGUAAAACUCUGUUGUAAGGGAAGAACACGUACGAGAGGAAAUGCUCGUACCUUGACGGUACCUUACGAGAAAGCCACGGCUAACUACGUGCCAGCAGCCGCCGUAA